rnacentral:rRNA from 1 species
UACGGGGGGGGGCAAGCGUUGUUCGGAAUUACUGGGCGUAAAGGGUGCGUAGGCGGCCUUCUAAGUCGAACGUGAAAUCCCUGGGCUCAACCCAGGAACUGCGUCCGAUACUGGAAGGCUUGAAUCCGGGAGAGGGAUGCGGAAUUCCAGGUGUAGCGGUGAAAUGCGUAGAUAUCUGGAGGAACACCGGUGGCGAAGGCGGCAUCCUGGACCGGCAUUGACGCUGAGGCGCGAAAGCCAGGGGAGCAAACGGG